rnacentral:rRNA from 1 species
CCUACUGGGUGCAGCAGUCGAGAAUCAUUCACAAUGGGGGAAACCCUGAUGGUGCGACGCCGCGUGGGGGAAUGAAGGUCUUCGGAUUGUAAACCUCUGUCAUGUGGGAGCAAAUUAAAAAGAUAGUACCACAAGAGGAAGAGACGGCUAACACUGUGCCAGCAGCCGCGGUAAUACAGAGGUCUCAAGCGUUGGUCGGAAUCACUGGGCGUAAAGCGUGCGUAGGCUGUUUCGUAAGUCGUGUGUGAAAGGCGCGGGCUCAACCCGCGGAGGGCACAUGAUACUGCGAGGUUAGAGAGAUGGAGGAGGAACCGGAAUUCGCGGUGUAGCAGUGAAAUGCGUAGAUAUCGAGAGGAACACUCGUGGCGAAGGCAGGUUCCUGGACAUUAACUGACGCUGAGGCACGAAGGCCAGGGUAGCGAAAGGGAUUAGAUACCCUAGUAGUC